rnacentral:rRNA from 1 species
CCUACGGGAGGCUGCAGUGGGGAAUAUUGCACAAUGGGGGAAACCCUGAUGCAGCGACGCCGCGUGAGUGAAGAAGGAUCUAGGUACGGAAAGCUCUAUCAGCAGGGGAGUAAAUGACGGUACGUGACUAAGAAGCCCCGGCUAACUACGUGCCAGCAGCCGCGGUAAUACGUAGGGGGCAAGCGUUAUCCGGAUUUACUGGGUGUAAAGGGGGCGUAGACGGUAGAACAAGUCUGGAGUGAAAUCCCGGGGCUUAACCCCGGAACUGCUUUGGAAACUGUGCGGCUGGAGUGCAGGAGGGGUAAGCGGAAUUCCUAGUGUAGCGGUGAAAUGCGUAGAUAUUAGGAGGAACACCGGUGGCGAAGGCAGCUUACUGGACUGUAACUGACGUUGAGGCUCGAAAGCGUGGGGAGCAAACAGGAUUAGAUACCCCAGUAGUC